rnacentral:rRNA from 1 species
GAUUAAAGAUUUAUCGGUGAUGGAUGGGGAUGCGUCUGAUUAGCUUGUUGGCGGGGUAACGGCCCACCAAGGCGACGAUCAGUAGGGGUUCUGAGAGGAAGGUCCCCCACAUUGGAACUGAGACACGGUCCAAACUCCUACGGGAGGCAGCAGUGAGGAAUAUUGGUCAAUGGACGAGAGUCUGAACCAGCCAAGUAGCGUGCAGGAAGACGGCCCUAUGGGUUGUAAACUGCUUUUAUAAGGGAAUAAAGUGAGUCUCGUGAGACUUUUUGCAUGUACCUUAUGAAUAAGGACCGGCUAAUUCCGUGCCAGCAGCCGCGGUAAUACGGAAGGUCCGGGCGUUAUCCGGAUUUAUUGGGUUUAAAGGGAGCGUAGGCCGGAGAUUAAGCGUGUUGUGAAAUGUAGACGCUCAACGUCUGCACUGCAGCGCGAACUGGUUUCCUUGAGUACGCACAAAGUGGGCGGAAUUCGUGGUGUAGCGGUGAAAUGCUUAGAUAUCACGAAGAACUCCGAUUGCGAAGGCAGCUCACUGGAGCGCAACUGACGCUGAAGCUCGAAAGUGCGGGUAUCGAACAGGAUUAGAUACCCUGGUAGUCCGCACGGUAAACGAUGGAUGCCCGCUGUUGG